GCUUGGGAUAUACCCAAGAAGAGAUUUUAAUAUAUCGUUGGGCCCCACACCUAGGUGAUGUGACUCUCCUGCAUGGGCUUUGCCUGCAGGGGUAUGAUGACAUAUCUUUUCUUUCAUCACCCAGGUGAUGCUACUCUCUACUUAUGGCUGGGCCUUGACAAAAAGAGGGAUUGGGACAUAUCCCUGGACGCUGAACCUAAGAGGUGGAGGUUGCCGUGGUGACAGAGUGAGACUUCGCCAAAACAAAACAAAAAAAACAACAACAAAAAGGGGUACUUUCUGCCCACAAAUGAGAUUGUGGCAUCUAACCCUAAGGUGAUGUUACUUCUUUGCUCUGGCUGUGCCCUUAGAAAACACUGAAACAUACUGCUGGGUCCAGCACCAAGAUUAUGUGAGUUUUCUGCCUGAACCCUGACCACAGGAAGCAUUGUAACAUAUCUCUUGACCCAUUGCAAUUUCUCCUAUGGGCAAAGCCCAGGUAAAUGCCUUCUUUUUUCUACAUGAUGUGACUCUCCUCUUCUGGGGUUUGUCUACAGUGGGAAUUGUGAUAUGACUCUUCUUUCAUUCUUGGGCCCUUUUCAGUGGGGUGAUUGGAACAUAAAGCUGAGCCCCAUAUCUAGGUUAUGUCUUUCCUCUUGUUUAUGAGCCCUACCCACAGAAGGCAUUGUGACAUAUCCCUAGCCUUUUACCUAGAUAAUAUGACAUUUUUGCCUAGGCCUUCUCCUCAGGGGGUAUUGUGAAAUAUUGCUGAACUGAGAACCUAGGUGAUGUGACUCUCCUCUGCUGCCUGGGCCCUGUAUACGUUGUGUAUUGCAACACAUCUCUGUGUCCAACACUGAGGUGAUGGGCCCUCCCACAGAUAUAUUAAACAC
rnacentral:lncRNA from 10 species